rnacentral:rRNA from 1 species
CUCAGUAACACGUGGAUAACCUGCCCUUAGGACUGGCAUAACCCCGGGAAACUGGGGAUAAUUCCGGAUAGUUCAUGGUAGCUGGAAUGCUCCAUGAUCGAAAGCUAUUGCGCCUAAGGAUGGGUCUGCGGUCUAUCAGGUAGUAGUGGGUGUAAUGUACCUACUAGCCGACGACGGAUACGGGUUGUGGGAGCAAGAGCCCGGAGAUGGAUUCUGAGACAUGAAUCCAGGCCCUACGGGGCGCAGCAGGCGCGAAAACUUUACAAUGCGGGAAACCGCGAUAAGGGGACACCGAGUGCCAGCAUCUUAUGUUGGCUGUCCGCAUGUAUAAAUCACAUGUGUUAGCAAGGGCCGGGCAAGACCGGUGCCAGCCGCCGCGGUAACACCGGCGACCCGAGUGGUGGCCACUAUUAUUGGGUCU